UACGUAGGUCGCAAGCGUUGUCCGGAUUUACUGGGCGUAAAGAGCGCGCAGGCGGCUGGUCAAGUCCGAUGUGAAAUCUCCCGGCUCAACUGGGAAACUGCAUCGGAAACUGAUCGGCUUGAAGGUGGGAGAGGGUAGUGGAAUUCCCGGUGUAGUGGUGAAAUGCGUAGAUAUGGGGAGGAACACCGGUGGCGAAGGCGGCCACCUGGACGGAUACUGACGCUGAGACGCGAAAGCGUGGGGAGCAAACAGG
rnacentral:rRNA from 1 species